AGAUAUCUCACCAGAGAGAGCAGAUCAGCACAGCUGGAGGGGCCUGGCCCCCGGGCUGCCUCACAGCCAUGCUGUGUCACAGUUGAGCUGUUCCACAGCUGUGAUGUAUCACAAUUGAGCUGUUUUGCACUGAAUAGUGUCCUCCUUACCACACCCCAAGUUGGGGAUUCCUGUUAGUGUUGAAUUGGCGUCCACAACCACCUCUUGAUACCUACCUCACAGGUGAGAAAAGGAAAGCCCAGAACACCUUCGCAUGAGCUUUGGGCAGCUGGAGGCCUUCACACAGCUUUGGGGUUGCUGGCAUGUCUCUAGUAAUUCCUGAGAAGUUCCAGCAUAUUUGCCAGUACUCAACACCAAUCAAUAUGGAUGGGCAGCAGAAAAUAGCCUUUGCCAGCACUCCAAUUACGGUAAAGCAGGGAUACAAACAUGAUGGCAGGAGCUGGAACAGCCACCUUGGAACCCAGAGAUGGAAGCCACAUGUGGAGAAUGACAGACACAUUACCAGCUCUGGACUGCUUACCUUUGGACUACUGUGUAAGAGCAAACCAAACUUCUGUUUUGUUUAAGUCACAGUAUUUCGGGCCUCUGACCACCUGGACUAUACUCCAAGUAAUAUAGCUUCAAGCCAUACCUACACCCAGGAACCUAUACUUCCUUGUUAUUUGUACUUGUGUUUUCUUAUUUCAAAUUUUAUGUUUUCCUUUUCAAAAAUUAAACUGU